UGACAAUAGAUGGCGUUAUAGCCUCGAG
rnacentral:sRNA from 1 species